AGUUUUGUGCAGUCGCGGUUAGCUAUAAGCUAGCUGAGGAAAGUCCACGCACGCACAAGCUGCGAUGCUUGUAGUGUUCGUAUUCAGCCUAAUAAGCUGGAGGAUUUUUAUAAUCACGGCGGAGAACGUGCUAAAUCAUUUUGACAUGCAUUAGUAUCCUGGAAAGUGCCACAGUGACGUAGCAGAGUCGGAAACGACUCUGGUGGAACGAGGUAAACCCUGCGAGCGUGCAACCCAAAUUUGGUGGGGGCGUCUUGAUCUAAGGAAUUGAACUAAAGAUCAGGUUGAUUUAUUCAAAGAUAGAUGGCUGCAGACAGUGAUUUGCCAAAAUCACUAGAACAAAACGUGGCUUAUAGAA
rnacentral:RNase_P_RNA from 2 species